GAUUCAAAGAAUUUUAUAAGUUUGUCAGAAAGUUCAUAUGACCUCAGUUUUUUUAAUAGUACUGAAUGAUUUACUCUAUCAAAGGCUUUUGCUAAACCAGUAAAGAUAACAUCAACUUGAUAAUUAUUUAUGGAUGAAGCAAUAUAGUGACUGAGAAUGCACAGAUUUGUUUGAGUUGAUUUUUUGUUUAAUGAAACCAUGUUGUUCUUCAAUUAAAGUUUUUGAAACAUGAGUAUACAGUGUAUUGUACAUAAUUUUUUCCAAGAUUUUUGAAAGAGAAGGCAAUACUGGUAUAGGACGAUGAUUUGAUAUUAAACUCAUAUUUCCCGAUUUGUGGAUAGGAGUUAUUCUACCUGCCUUAAGCGCAUCCGGAAACGUGCUUGUCUCUAAACAUUUAUUAAAUAUCAUUUGUAGGGGACGUAACAGGACUUCUGAAUAUGCCUUAAACAGGUUAAGAGCAGAAACAGUGUCUGGAUACAUAUAAAUGAAUUUUUGGUAGUAAGGACUGCAGGCCUCAUAGAGCUUGGUUUUCUGCUUGCCACACAAGCUUUUUUUCCGUAGAUGCAAUUUUAAGUUUGGCCUUUUCUAUGGAUUCAUAGUAAUAAUAUGCUGGUGUAUCGGGUCGACACUCAAGAAUGCACAAUAUUACACGAUAACAGGUUUAAGACCCAGACAUAGCGUCAUGUGUCUAGAAAAAAGAGUGGCGAUAGUAUUCAAAAUCUUGAUUUAAUGUGUAUAAAUGUACUUCCUUUAUAGUCCAUGUGGUGAGACCGCUCCCGUCUGGAAAAAUUUUUGAUUCGGUUUCUUUGUGGAUUCCUAUUUAAAAAUGUCCUUUUUAAACAAAUCUGAAGGGUACCGGGCGGAAUUUUUGGGCAGAAAUUGUUUAAACAAUUUUUUUAAACAAAUACAAAAGAUCACGAUUUUUUGCUCUGAAAUAUAUAUUUUUAGGUUUUUUGGGUCAUUCUUAACAAGAAAGGUGUCUUGUAAAUUUUCUCAAAAAUAGAUAGUUUUCGAGUUAUAAGCGAUUUAAAAUCUGAAAAAUGCGAAAAUACGCAUUUUCGAGGCUUAAAAGCUCAUAUUUAAAUUAGUAUUUUUGAGGUGGCCAUAUACUUAAAUUGAAGUUGAAACAUUCAGCUUCAAGAUUCUGAAGAAUGAUCGCGUCUAACCUUAAUUUAAAUCGUUGUUUUUAAAUUGUUAAAUAUGCAUGUCCAUCCGAUUUUUUUGCCGGUGCGGCGCGCUCUAUUCCAAAAAAAACCCUAUUUUCCUCCAAAAAAUAUUUUUUAUAGAUUCUUUGGGGCAUUCUAAAUAAAAAAAGUUUCUUGACAUUUUUCUGAAAAGUUAAUAGUUUUAAAGUUAUAAGCGAUUUAAAAACCGAAAAUACGUUUUUUGUCAUUUUUCCGAUUUUAAAUCGCUUAUAACUUUAAAACUAUUAACUUUUGAGAAAAAUGUCAAGAAACUUAUUUUAUUUAGAAUAUCCCAAAGAAUCUAGAAAAAAUAUUUUUCGGAGGAUAAUAGGAGAUUUUUGAAAUAGAGCGCGCCGCACCGGCAAAAAAAUCGGAUAAACAUGCAUAUUUAACAAUUAAAAUAUAACGGUAUAAUUUAAAGUUAGACGUGAUCACUCUUCAGAAUCUUGAAGAUGAAUGUUUAACCUUCAAAUUAAUUAUCUGGCAACCUCAAAAAUACUAAUGUAAAUAUGAGUAUUUAAGCCUCGAAAAUGCGUAUUUUCGCAUUUUUCAGAUUUUAAAUCGCUUAUAACUCGAAAACUAUCAAUUUUUGAGAAAAAUUACAAGAUUUCUUGUUUAGAAUGACCCAAAAAACCUAAAAAUACAUAUAUCAGAGCAAAAAAAGGUGAUCUUUUGUAUUUGUUUAAAAAAUUGUUUAAACAAUUUCUGCCCAAAAAUUCCGCCCGGCACCCUUCAGAUUUGUUUAAAGGGGACAUUUUUGAAUAGGAAUCCACAAAGAAACCGAAUCAGAAUUUUUUUCAGACGGGAGCGGUCUCACCACAUGGACUAUUAAUCCUUUAAUUAAUGUAUUAAUAUUAAAUAUUAUUUGUUA